UAUAAAUACCAAUUAUUGCGUAGAGAGCGGCGUACGCCUUCUUUUGUGCGUACGAAACGUUUAUAAAUGAGGCCCCGGGACCUUUAGCCACAAGGAGGAGUUGGGAGGGCGAGGUGACUUCCAGUCUAAUGGGAUUCUCCUUCGUGCCAAGAGGGUUGAGAAAAUAAUACUAGAUCAUAAUUAUCAAUGUAUUAAUUUGUCAUCACUUUUAAAGUUUAGCUCAUUUGAAUUACUUUAUACACAUUGUGAAUCUCACAGAAUAAAGUGUUCUUUAGUAGUACAAAAAGAAAUUAGAGCUCAAAUAUCUUAAAUUUGCUUGAUACUUACAAUACACUUGAGUAAAUGUACACGACUUCAACCACUUACUUAAUUAAAUGUUUGAAGGAUUUCUCUCUUUAUGUAUCAGAGGAGCUUCCGUCCGGCCAGCAGCUGAAUUACUAGUGAUGACGGUGGUGAUGAUGACGGUGAUGAUGAUGAUGGUGAUGAUGAUGGUGAUGGUGAUGAUGGUGAUGAUGAUGCUCAGUGUGAUGUCUCAGCACCACCUAGUGCUGCUUCAAUAAAACCGCAUGUCACCUCAAAAACAUUUAGCGGAAUAAACCUCUACAGAAAAGGUGAGAUGCAAUUAAUAAAUAAAUAAGAAGCCAUUGUGGAAGCUAACAAAGUUAAUGAUUCUUUCUAAUUGAGAGUUGGCAGAAAGAACGAGGAUCCAGAGAGAUGGUGGAGAGAACCGUAUUUUUCUUUUCAUACAUUUAGUAGUAACCUGUUGGUGUCCUUGUAUUACUGAUUGUAUUUCAAACAUGGUGUUUGUGUUUGUGGGACCCGUUUUCAUCUUUUUUAUCAAAACAACAACAAAAAAAUCCUUUUUCGGAGCUCCUGAGGAGGAAGCUGACCAUGGCGGGAACAACGAGGAAAAACAGCACUGAGCUCCCCAAUAUUAACCAUAUUUGCUUUUUAUAUUGCUUCUAAUUGGGAUAAAGUAAAUAUCUGUGGAGUAGUUUAACAUUGUGUUGAAUUAAUAACCCCGAAAUACAGCAGGUCCAACAGACCCACAACACCGACUGAGUAACAAAAAUAUGAACACUAAUGCAGCUACUUCUUGGGCCAAUAAAGCUUGGUGAAUAUUGUUUAGUUAUUCACUCCACCAUCAAUACAUUACAUGGAACAUUCUGUGUUACUGGCUUUUCACGUUGCAUUCGUACCUUCUCACUAUAAACCAAAGUCUCUUAUACACAGUGGGGAGAACAAGUAUUUGACACUCUGCCGACUUAGCAGGUUUUCCCACUUACAAAGCAUCUAGGAGUCUGUCAUUUUUAUCAUAGGUGCUCUUCAACUGCGAGUGACGGAAUCUUAAACAAAAAUCCAGAAAAUCACAUUGUAUAUAUUUUUUUACAUUAUUUUGCAGUUUAUUGCAUGACAUAAAUAUUUUAUCACCUACCAAGCAGUAAGAAUUCCGGCUCUCGCAGACCUGUUAGUUUGUCUUUAGGAAGCCCUCGUGUUCUCCAUUCAUUACCUGUAUUAACUGCACCUGUUUGAACUCAUUACCUGUAUAAAAGACACCUGUCCACACACUCAGUCAAACAGACUCCAACCGCUCCGCAAUGGCCAAGACCAGCGAGCUGUGUGAGGACAGCAGGGAUAGAAUUGUAGACCUGCACAGGGCUGAGACAGACUACAGGACAACAGGCAAGCAGCUUGAAAAGCAUCCCCAGACUGCACCGUAUUAAGGGGAGGAUUGACGAGGCCAUGUAACGCGAGAUCUGGGCCAGCAACCUCCUUUCCUCAGUGAGAGCAUUGAAGAUGGGUCUUCCAGCAUAACAACGACACACACAGCCAGGGCAACUAAGGAGUGGCUGUGUGAGAAGCAUCUCAAGGUCGUGGGGAGGCCUAUAGCCGGUCUCUAGACCUGAACCUAAUUGAAAAUCUUUGGGGGAGCUAAAAGUCUGUGUUGCCCAGUGACAACCCCGAGAGCUGAAGGUCUGUAUGGAGGAGUGGUUUUGGAUUCAGUCACUCACAGUUCAGUACCCAUGAUUAAAAAUGGCAGACUCCUACAUGCUUUGUAAGUGGGAAAAUCUGCAGUGUAUCAAAUACUUAAUCCCCAUUCUAUUCUAAUUAUGUGAGAUAAACCUCACAUUUGAUUGUGAAACGCUGUGUUGAAAAAUGACAAAGCAACGCUUUGUUGCUCGUUCAUUUCACACAUAUUUGCUCUACGGAUAAAUAAAUGUAUUCUCAUCCAUAAGUUUGUUGCUCACCUGCUGAUUUUAAUUCAAUACCUAAGUGUGGAUGUGAGCGAAGAUGUGCUAGUGAAUAAUAAAAAAAACUAUGGAUGAAGUACUCUGAUAAUUUUUCUUCAGUUAAAGUAGCAGUACCACAGGGUAGAAAUACUGAGUAAAAAUACUGCAUUCAAAUGUAUUUGCAGCAAAAUAAAUGCAUUCAAAUGUAUUUGCAGCAAAAUAAAUACUACGUACAAAACAAA